rnacentral:rRNA from 1 species
UACGUGGGGUGCGAGCGUUAAUCGGAAUUACUGGGCGUAAAGCGUGCGUAGGCGGUUCGUUAAGUUCGUUGUGAAAGCCCCGGGCUCAACCUGGGAAUGGCAAUGGAAACUGGCGGGCUGGAGUAUGGCAGAGGGGGGUGGAAUUCCGCGUGUAGCAGUGAAAUGCGUAGAGAUGCGGAGGAACACCGAUGGCGAAGGCAGCCCCCUGGGCCAAUACUGACGCUCAGGCACGAAAGCGUGGGGAGCAAACAGG